rnacentral:rRNA from 1 species
GACAGAGGGUGCAAACGUUGCUCGGAAUUACUGGGCGUAAAGCGCGUGUAGGUGGAUUGGUGUGUCAGAUGUGAAAGCCCUGGGCUCAACCCAGGAACUGCACCUGAAACUACCAGUCUUGAGUGGUGGAGAGGGAAGUGGAAUUCCUGGUGUAGAGGUGAAAUUCGUAGAUAUCAGGAGGAACACCAGUGGCGAAGGCGGCUUCCUGGACGACUAACUGACGCUGAGACGCGAAAGCGUGGGGAGCAAACAGG